rnacentral:rRNA from 1 species
UACGAAGGGUGCAAGCGUUACUCGGAAUUACUGGGCGUAAAGCGUGCGUAGGUGGUUCGUUAAGUCUGUCGUGAAAGCCCCGGGCUCAACCUGGGAAUGGCGAUGGAUACUGGCGAGCUAGAGUGCGGUAGAGGAGAGUGGAAUUCCCGGUGUAGCAGUGAAAUGCGUAGAGAUCGGGAGGAACAUCAGUUGCGAAGGCGGAUCUCUGGGCCAUUACUGACGCUGAGGAGCGAAAGCGUGGGGAGCGAACAGG